rnacentral:lncRNA from 1 species
ACUGAUUCCAAAAAGAUCUGGUUCUAUAUACUUUUUUAUUAAUAAAGUACAAAAAUAGCUACUUCCGGUUUACACAAGGUCACUUCCGGUUGUUUUUUUUUCAAGGUUAAAUGGUUUGAUACCUUUCGCCAAAAGUCUCAUGGAUAUAUCAUGUAUAAAUAUGAGCUGAAAGCAAAGGUCAAAAACUAGAACGUCAAAUUAAUCUAUGACCUUGAGAUCAAUUUCAAGGUCAUAAACCAAGGACCUCAAAUCAAAAGACCAUAGGACUUAAUUAUAUUUGGUUAAUCAGUUAUAUCACCAUACACGUAUUUUUAAAUACAAGAGGGGAGAAAACUCACUUUUACGUUCAACGUACCCUUGCAAUCAAAAUUUACGUGUUACGACAUGUCGCAACUAACAAUUUAGAAAAAAUAAUUUGUCGAUAUUUUAUACAGUUUCUGGAAAUUAGUGGAAAUAAGCC